AAUGAACGCUGGCGGCAUGCCUAACACAUGCAAGUCGAACGAAGGCUUCGGCCUUAGUGGCGCACGGGUGCGUAACGCGUGGGAAUCUGCCCUUGGGUUCGGAAUAACAGUUAGAAAUGACUGCUAAUACCGGAUGAUGUCGUGAGACCAAAGAUUUAUCGCCCAAGGAUGAGCCCGCGUAGGAUUAGCUAGUUGGUGGGGUAAAGGCCCACCAAGGCGACGAUCCUUAGCUGGUCUGAGAGGAUGAUCAGCCACACUGGGACUGAGACACGGCCCAGACUCCUACGGGAGGCAGCAGUGGGGAAUAUUGGACAAUGGGCGAAAGCCUGAUCCAGCAAUGCCGCGUGAGUGAUGAAGGCCUUAGGGUUGUAAAGCUCUUUUACCCGGGAUGAUAAUGACAGUACCGGGAGAAUAAGCUCCGGCUAACUUCGUGCCAGCCGCCGCAGUAAGAC
rnacentral:rRNA from 1 species